rnacentral:rRNA from 1 species
GACGGAAAGGACGAGCGUUAUUCGGAAUGAUUGGGCGUAAAGGGCCUGUAGGUGGUUCAUUAAGCUAUAAUCGAAAUUCUAGGCUUAAAUCUAGAGAUGUUUAUAUGACUGGUGAGCUUGAGUAAAAUAGAGGAUUGUAGAAUUCUUGGUGGAGAGGUCAAAUUCGUUGAGAUCGAGAGGAAUGCCAGAGGCGAGGGCGACAUUCUGGAUUUUACUGACAUUGAGGGGCGAAGGUGUAGGUAGCAAACAGG